GCCCUUAGAGUUUGAUCCUGGCUCAGGAUGAACGCUAGCUACAGGCUUAACACAUGCAAGUCGAGGGGCAGCAUGAACUUAGCUUGCUAAGUUUGAUGGCGACCGGCGCACGGGUGAGUAACACGUAUCCAACCUUCCGUUUACUCAGGGAUAGCCUUUCGAAAGAAAGAUUAAUACCUGAUAGUAUGGUGAGAUUGCAUGAUAACACCAUUAAAGAUUUAUUGGUAAACGAUGGGGAUGCGUUCCAUUAGGUAGUAGGCGGGGUAACGGCCCACCUAGCCUGCGAUGGAUAGGGGUUCUGAGAGGAAGGUCCCCCACAUUGGAACUGAGACACGGUCCAAACUCCUACGGGAGGCAGCAGUGAGGAAUAUUGGUCAAUGGGCGAGAGCCUGAACCAGCCAAGUAGCGUGAAGGAUGAAGGUCCUACGGAUUGUAAACUUCUUUUAUACGGGAAUAAAGUUUCCUACGUGUAGGAUUUUGUAUGUACCGUAUGAAUAAGCAUCGGCUAACUCCGUGCCAGCAGCCGCGGUAAUACGGAGGAUGCGAGCGUUAUCCGGAUUUAUUGGGUUUAAAGGGAGCGCAGACGGGAGAUUAAGUCAGUUGUGAAAGUUUGCGGCUCAACCGUAAAAUUGCAGUUGAUACUGGUUUCCUUGAGUGCAGUUGAGGCAGGCGGAAUUCGUGGUGUAGCGGUGAAAUGCUUAGAUAUCACGAAGAACCCCGAUUGCGAAGGCAGCUUGCUAAACUGUAACUGACGUUCAUGCUCGAAAGUGUGGGUAUCAAACAGGAUUAGAUACCCUGGUGGUCCACACGGUAAACGAUGGAUACUCGCUGUUGGCGAUAUACUGUCAGCGGCCAAGCGAAAGCAUUAAGUAUCCCACCUGGGGAGUACGCCGGCAACGGUGAAACUCAAAGGAAUUGACG
rnacentral:rRNA from 1 species